rnacentral:rRNA from 1 species
UACGAAGGGGGCUAGCGUUGUUCGGAUUUACUGGGCGUAAAGCGCACGUAGGCGGAUCGAUCAGUCAGGGGUGAAGUCCCAGAGCUCAACUCUGGAACUGCCUUUGAUACUGUCGAUCUGGAGUAUGGAAGAGGUGAGUGGAAUUCCGAGUGUAGAGGUGAAAUUCGUAGAUAUUCGGAGGAACACCAGUGGCGAAGGCGGCUCACUGGUCCAUUACUGACGCUGAGGUGCGAAAGCGUGGGGAGCAAACAGG